GACAUCCAGCGAACUUGGCAGAGAUGCCUUGGUGCCUUCGGAACGCUGAGACAGGUGCUACAUGGCUGUCGUCAGCUCGUGUUGUGAAAUGUUGGGUUAAGUCCCGCAACGAGCGCAACCCUUAUCCUUUGUUGCCAGCGAUUCGGUCGGGAACUCAAAGGAGACUGCCGGUGAUAAACCGGAGGAAGGUGGGGAUGACGUCAAGUCAUCAUGGCCCUUACGAGUAGGGCUACACACGUGCUACAAUGGCGCAUACAAAGAGAAGCGACCUCGCGAGAGCAAGCGGACCUCAUAAAGUGCGUCGUAGUCCGGAUCGGAGUCUGCAACUCGACUCCGUGAAGUCGGAAUCGCUAGUAAUCGUGGAUCAGAAUGCCACGGUGAAUACGUUCCCGGGCCUUGUACACACCGCCCGUCACACCAUGGGAGUGGGUUGCAAAAGAAGUAGGUAGCUUAACCUCCGGGAGGGCGCUUACCACUUUGUGAUUCAUGACUGGGGUGAAGUCGUAACAAGGUAAGCGUAGCGAG
rnacentral:rRNA from 1 species